CACGUAGGGGACGAGCGUUGUCCGGAUUCAUUGGGCGUAAAGAGCGCGUAGGCGGCUAGAUAAGUCCGGUGUGAAAGUCACAGGCUCAACCUGUGAAUGCCGCUGGAAACUGUCUGGCUAGAGUCCGGAAGGGGCGAGUGGAAUUCCUGGUGUAGCGGUGAAAUGCGCAGAUAUCAGGAGGAACACCAAUGGCGAAGGCAGCUCGCUGGGACGGUACUGACGCUGAGGCGCGAAAGCUAGGGGAGCGAACGGG
rnacentral:rRNA from 1 species